UGACUAUUACAAUAAAAUAAAAAUAUUGAAUAAAAUAUUCAAUUUUCUCAUAAAAUAAUAUUUUUAAAACACUGCAGAAAUAAUUUUACAGCGUAAAAGCAAAAUAAAUUCAUAUAUAUCGUAAUACAGUAAGCCAGAAUAUUUAAUUUAAUUUACAGUAACAAGUGGGCUCAUGAACGACCAAAAGUAUUAAAAACAGUAAACCUACAGUUUUUGAGGAUGCAAGUCCAACUGUAGCCCUCAACAAAGUGAGCUAUCUACCGACUAUUCUAAGCCUGAAAUGGGUGGAAAGGAGGGUGGUGAGAUUAUAAAAUCUCAGUGAGUAAACAAAUACCAUUUAAAAUAUCUAAAGUUGAGUAAAUGGAGACAGAUAAAAUAGUUUAACAUACUGUAAUUCAUCACCUUUCAACUAAUUUCAACCAAAUAAAAUCAAUUCAUAUAAAUCGAGUAAUCAACAUGGCUUAUGAGUAUCUUAAAACUUUGGCUCGUGCCAAAAUCAUUCUCAUACCCAGUUAUCAGGGAUACCUUGAUCGAGGGCAAUCCCAACCGAGUCCGCCAAGGCUAUUAAAAAGUCAUGUACGCAUAAAUCAUGUUUUUAUUUUGAAAACAUAGUUGUUCUUUAGUGUUGGUUGAGUUCACCCUCACGUGGUGGUUUAGCGUGAAGUGAACUCUAAAGUGUUAAUCUUAGGAGUUAUCCACUCGUGCCUCUCAUACUGAGGUAAGAAUAUAAUGGGGUUACCGUGUCCCUCUAAUAGGCUGGUCCACGGAACUCGCCCACUGCAGUAAGCUAAUAAUUAUCCCACCAAUCAAUAAAAUUUAAAAACAUGAUAUGGCAAUUAUUGUAAUUCAUAGCCUUUCAAGGUUAAAUACAAAGUUCAUAUAUUUCAACACAAAUACCAAUUCGGCCAUUCAUGCAAAUAUUGUCAUAAGCCAUUUGAUUCAAACCAUGAAUUUACAACACAUGAAAACAGUCUCCAAUUACUCUAUUUUCAAACCAUCAUUUCAUUUCAAGACAAUGUUAUAAAAUCAUUUCAUUAAAUCACAUUUUAAUUACUAAACACAAAGAUUUACCGUUUAACUCAUUUUUCAUAAAAUCACAAAGUCGGAUAAAAACCACUUUAGAUAAUUAAGACGAUAGUAAGGUUACUCACAAUGUCUAGAGUGCGGAUUUUCAAAGUACUCUGACUACUGGUCCUCGGAUGUAAUUUCCUUGCCUUUAUUGAAGAACUCACCACCUUGACAUAGUACAAAAUUGAGAAACUUACUACAUUGGUACUAAAUCGAAAUUAAACUAAUUUAGACUACUAAUGCAUGAUAUGGAAUGCAAAAUGCAUGGGUAACCAUCUAAACCCGGUAUUGGCCUAAUUCGUCUUAUCACCCAAUUAAUUGGCCAACGUGUCCAAUUUAGCUCUAAAUUGCUCCAUUUCUUUUCCAAUACCUUAAUUCACCAAACCCAAGUCAAAUAACCUAAAAGUUGGCAAAACCAUCUUCACUUUUCUUCUUAGAAUUUUCAGUCAAUAAUGGUGCAUUAACACCGUGAUUUUUCCUACUACUUUUCCACACCAUAAUUCAUCAUUUUCUAAACAAUUCUCUUAAAAUAAAAAAUUAAAUUCAUCCUCACUUAAUACAAGGUAGGUUCGGCCAUUGAUGGGUGAUGGGGAAAAUGAAUUCUUUUCUUGUUGUUUUGCUUCUAGACAUGGUAAACUAAUUAAAAACACUAACAUAACUUAAAAUCAAAUCAAUCCAACAUCAUUCUCUCUCCAUACCCAUUCGGCUGGCCAUGAAUUCACCAUGAAAACAUGAAAUUUAAGCAUGGAAAAUAAGGAGAAAUGCUUAAGGAAAAUAGAUUUCAAGUUUGAAUUGAGAAAUCCUACCUUUUUUCACUUGUUUUCCUUGAUUUUCCACACUUUUUCUCUUGAAAUUCUCCACCUAGGGUUCUUGUUCUUUCUUUUCUUCAUUUGUUCUUCUUUGGCCGGCC
rnacentral:lncRNA from 1 species